ACAUAAGAGACAGAGCAAGUAAAAUAUUACGCUACAGUGCUACUGGCCCAUAAUCAGGCAACUGCAGAGUCUUAGGGGGUUAUCUAAUGUAGUCUUGGGGUGGCUGGAUAGACUUCCCAAAGAAGGUGAUGCCGAAGCUGAGGUCGGAAAUUACGAAGAUCAGCUAUGAAGGCCUGAGGAGAGAAGACACAUAGUCAUGCUGACUAAACCAGAUCACCUAGAAUUACCAAAUGGAAAGGACACUGUUGUGUCUACAGCACCAGCUGGAUGAGCAGUUGAACAUGUGAAUUCUCUCGUUCGCACCAAGCCACAGCUGACUGGACACCAAGGCUAAGCAUCUGAUUGAAAAGCGGUCCAUAGAUUAGGAGGCUGUGACUGGCAUGACCUGAGACUAACCGAGGGACCAAGAUUGUGCCUGCAGCCUGGCCUGUUGCCCACAGCGGUCUACCUGCCACACUGGGAAAGAUCGAGCAGAGACAGAGAAGAAAAGGAGGCUCCAUUUUUCAGGCUGCUCUCCCGCAGGCUCAUGUUUUGUGUUCAUGCCAGGCAGAGAACACAAAAUGUUCCAAUAAAUAAGUAUCAAAGGUUAGUGGUGAAAAUGAAGGAGGAGGAGGCAUUGCGUGAAAAACUAAACAUGCAAAAUAUUACACACAAAGAGAACCAAAAUGCAGGUUCACUGGAAAUGAUAGACAAUAUGUUAAAACAAGAGGAGAGAAGAGAGCUGAAAUAAUCAAAUGGAAACACACAAUUUAGGGCUAAGAUCUUGUUGUGUUCAGCCACAAAUGAUGGCCAGCAGUGAGGAAUCUGUGUGUUCUCCACACUCUUCGCUCCUGGGAAGUCAACUCACAUGGACCAUGAUAUCAAUAUCUGCUCCUUCCCCUAAUAUCUGUUUGACCUUGGGUCAGUUACUUAAACUUCCUAAGCCUUAGUUUCUUUGUCUGGAAAAUAGGGAUAGUUAUACCUACCACACAACCACUUUGUAAUGAAUAUGUUGGAAAUUAUAUGCAAAUUGGCUUCCGUUGGUGUUUGGAACAUAGUAGGUUUUUAACUGGAAUAUAAUAGCUACCAUUAUCAGUAUCAUCAUAUUAAUUUAUAUUUCCAUCUUCAGCCCUUAACCCAGGAUCUUCAGUAAAUGUUGAAUUCUCAAAUUUGUUAAAUUCACUUGUCUAUACUAAUAUUUUACUCUAGGUUUCUUAGAAUAUUCUAGAUAAUAUUAUUAUGUAGAAUAUGUUAUGUAAGCUUCAUCUUAUCUGUAAAUAUAGUUUUACUUUUUCCUUUCUAAUUUUUAUGUCGAUUACUUCUUUUUCUUGGCUUAUUGAAUUGGCUAGGAUUCCCGUACAGUGUUGAAUACGUGCAGCAAGACUGCACAUCUUGCCUUGUUCCUGGUCCCACAGAGAGAAUAUCCAGUACUUCACAAUAAGUAUGUGUUAAUUGUAGAUUUUAUUAGAUUGAGGAAGUUCCCUUUCCUUUCAAGUCAGUCUUUUUAUUUUAAACAUGUAUUGAAGUUUUGUCAAAUGUCUUCAUCUAUUGGAAUAAUUAUACAUAUCUCUUUUUUAUUCUGUUAAUAUUACAUUUCAAUCUUCUGUCUACCUAAAAUCCCUAGAAUAAUCUCCAUUUGGCUAUGAUGUGUUGUGCUUUUAUAUAUUACUGAAUUCUAUAUGCCAAUAUUAUUAAAAUUUUCUGUCUUUAUGAGAAAUAUUUGAAUGUAUAUUUUUUCAUGUAUUUGUUUUGAUUUUAUUUUCAAUGCCAUUUUGUAAAAGAGCAUUAAAGUGUUAGUAUGAAA
ensembl:lncRNA CCDC26 CCDC26 long non-coding RNA